rnacentral:rRNA from 1 species
GAUGAACGCUAGCGGCAGGCUUAACACAUGCAAGUCGAGGGGUAUGGUUCUUCGGAACCAGAGACCGGCGCACGGGUGCGUAACGCGUAUGCAAUCUACCUUUUACAGAGGGAUAGCCCAGAGAAAUUUGGAUUAAUACCUCAUAGUAUAACAUGACCGCAUGGUUCGAGUUAUUAAAGUCACAACGGUAAAAGAUGAGC